CUGUGCCUCGGCGCGGCCAACCGUCAUGGAGCUGUCUUUUCAUAUCCCCUCUCGUUGUGCUACGGGGGGACUGGGUUACGGGUGCCUGUGCUGUUCUACCCUCAUGGGAAUGUUUAUUUUUGUCCCGUGACAGAUUUUUGCUUUGCCCUGACAGUGUAUUGUGCUUGUUAGGGCGGUUGAAAUGUCGGCCAAAUCCUAGUGCGGCGGCGGGCGUAUGCCCCUGCCCUGCGCUGGGAUAUUGUCGGUGCUCUUGGAUGCCGUGCCCAUGGAGGGCUCUGUGGGCCUCUGGUCCCUAGUUUUCCUCGGGAGUCUCUCUUGUACGGAUCAUUGCUCCCCCGCUUCRCUGGUGAUGGCACCGUCAGACMCGAUUGACGUGCUUGCCGGGAUAUUAUGAUGGCGGUGCGGUGCGUGGGGGGCAUGCUCCUGUGUGAGUGAGGCGUUUUCCCAAUUGAAUGAGCGAUUGCCGGUUCGCGCUGCUUGAGCGGCCUCCCAUUCGGGGGGCGUCAGGAACAGCGUGUCGGCUCUCGUGUAGGACGUGCUACCUGGUUGAUCCUGCCAGUAGUCA
rnacentral:misc_RNA from 1 species